UAGGGAAUCUUCCACAAUGGACGCAAGUCUGAUGGAGCAACGCCGCGUGAGUGAAGAAGGUUUUCGGACCGUAAAGCUCUGUUGUUGGUGAAGAAGGAUAGAGGUAGUAACUGGCCUUUAUUUGACGGUAAUCAACCAGAAAGUCACGGCUAACUACGUGCCAGCAGCCGCGGUAAUACGUAGGUGGCAAGCGUUGUCCGGAUUUAUUGGGCGUAAAGCGAGCGCAGGCGGAAGAAUAAGUCUGAUGUGAAAGCCCUCGGCUUAACCGAGGAAUUGCAUCGGAAACUGUUUUCUUGAGUGC
rnacentral:rRNA from 1 species